rnacentral:rRNA from 1 species
GACGAACGCUGGCGGCGUGCUUAACACAUGCAAGUCGAACGGAAAGGCCAUGCUUUUGUGGGGUGCACGAGAGGGGAACGGGUGAGUAAAACGCGAGUAACAUGCCCUUGACUUUGGGAUAAAUUCAGGAAAAAGGGGCUAAUACCGGAGAGGAGAUCCUGCUGCACGGGGGGGGAAGGAAAGAGUCGGCGGUGGGGGAUGGACUAGAGGGUUAUUAGCUGGUUGGUGGGGUAGGGGGUGACCAAGGCUAUGAAGGGUAGCCGACCUGAGAGGGUGACGGGCCACACUGGAACUUAGCCACGGUCCGGACUCCUACGGGAGGCAGCAGUCGGGAAUCUUCCGCAAUGGGCGAAAGCCUGACGGAGCAACGCCGCGUGAGUGAUGAAGGUCUUCGGAUCGUAAAACUCUGUUAUUAGGGAAGAACAUAUGUGUAAGUAACUGUGCACAUCUUGACGGUACCUAAUCAGAAAGCCACGGCUAACUACGUG